rnacentral:lncRNA from 10 species
GCCAGCCUCGUCCCAGACCACAGCUUCCAUGUCUGCCUCAUUGGGGUCCUGUGCAAAGACCUGCCAUGGACAUUUCCAGUUUCCCAGGGAUUUACCAUUAAGGAUUCUGCCAUCACAGACCCCCCUUGCAAGGAGUGUGCUCGUGAGCAACGAGACCGCUGAGCAGAGUGUCUCGGUCCCUCUGAGUGUGCGUCUGUGUACUAGGGUUAUUGGUGCUCUGUGACUCUGGGCAAGAAUUUCAACUCCCCUGGGCCUCAGCUCCUCGUCUGUAAAACAGGGGUAAAUAAUUGGGCAAAUCUCCCAGGAUCAUGAGAAUUAAGUUAAAUGAGGGAGUGCUGGGAAGCCGAGCUCAGCCGGUGUCUGGCGCAGAGCAAGAGCAGAAGGGUGCUGUUCCCCAGGUUUCUGUCCUUGUCAGUAGUGUCAUCUGCCUGGUCUGGCUAGGAUCCUGCAGCCAGCAACCACCCAGGUCCUAAAGGUGGGAGCUUUGCUGAGAAGCGUGCCUGGGCCUGGUCUCUGGUUCAGGGCAACUGGAGGCUUGGAUCUCCCCUCUGGGUUAGCAUGAGGUGACUCAACCCAUGUCAUGUGGCAAAAAACCCUUCCACACCCUCAGGUUCUCAUGAAUCCAGCCUUAGGUGGAGGUGGAGGCCCUCAGCCGGAUUCAAAAAAGGACCCGUUCGGUGUGGAAGCCUCCCAGGGGCUGGGGUGGUGGGGCUGGCACCCAUCCGAUAGCCUGUGGGCUCCUUUCUGAGUGAUGAUCUUUUUCCCUGGCUCCCUCCCCAGGCCUCAGGGACUCUUCCUUUUACACACACCUGUUCCUUCCCAGGAUGGCCCAGGCUAAAGCGGACCCAGAAGCUCCUCAAUGCUGAUCAUGGCCAGAAAGGUCCCAGGCCCCUUAAAG